GUCGGGAGACAGCGGCCUGCAGGCGACAGAGGUUCAAGCUGAAAUGACAGCAGCAGCUCAGUGCUUUCUUUCUUAUGGGAAAGAAAUGAAAGAAAGACAAUAAAUCAGAUGAAGUUCAGCUGGCAACUAACGAUAGAGAGGGCGAGGCAGGGAGAGACAGCACUUCAGAGUUGCAGGUACAGAGAUGGAUGUAGGCCAGGCACUGCAGCCUGGUGAGACUCCCCUGUGUGCAGCUCGGAACACCUGUCCCGCUGUGCGUCGGCACCCCCAAUCUUUACCAGGCCAAGGAGGAGCACCAUCUCUCUCCAUAACACUUUCCACAACCCGUCGUCUCCCGGGACACCCCAAAGGAGCAAGAUGAGGAGGAACCAGGGGACCAGUGUUUGCUGGGGGAUCUGCCGCCCAAAACUGCAUUUCUUAAACCAGAAAUCAAAUUACAACCUGCUGACGUGGAGAAAAACUGGCUAUUAAUAUUUUAGUAUGGAUACUGUGUGCAAGACACCCCCAGCUGUGAGAGCAUUCUCAGAUGAAGGAGGGAAAAAAAACAUUACGACACACCAACAAGUGCCUGUCUACAGCACUUCUCCCACAGCAGCAUAAUCUAACAAAGCUACUAAUGUGGUAGCAAAAACACAAGCAGACUAAUGAUGCACAUUUGGAGUCAGUAGUAACCAGGUUACAUCUUGUGAUAGUGCUGUGGGAUGAAAAGCCACGACUAUUUUAAUACCUAAUGUUGCUGUCCAAAGAAACCAUGUAUCUCCAGAUUUAGUGAAAUUGAAGUUUUCCUUUAUAGGUGUAGAAAAUGCUCCUAUGUCUAAAGCGAAAUAUGCCCUUUAAAACCCAAAUGGAUGGUCGAAAAAUGAUUCGUCUCAUAGCUGAAAACAAGGCGUUUUUUCUUAGCAUAUGAAAAGUUGAUGGUUUAGAGUCAUAUGUUUUUUAGAGGACAGUGACGCACUUGCUUCUAUCAUGGACUGGAAAAAUAAUGGACCUAGCUAUCAUGACAUUAUGAACAUUGCACUUUAAAUGGCAACGACACUUUCUUGCUGUUAUAACUUGCUGCUAUUCU